rnacentral:rRNA from 1 species
CUGGUUGAUCCUGCCAGUAGUCAUAUGCUUGUCUCAAAAAUUAAGCCAUGCAUGUCUAAGUAUAAGCAAUUGUACGGUGAAACUGCGAAUGGCUCAUUAAAUCAGUUAUCGUUUAUUUGAUAGUACCUUACUACUUCCAUAUCCGUGGUAAUUCUAGAGCUAAUACAUGCUUACAGCCCCGACUUCUGGAAGGGGCGAGUUUAUUAGAUAAAAAACCAACGCCCUUCGGGGCCUCUUGGUGAUUCAUGAUAACUUCACGGAUCGCAUGGCCUUGCGCCGGCGACGGUUCAUUCAAAUUUCUGCCCUAUCAACUUUCGAUGGUAAGGUAUUGGCUUACCAUGGUUUCAACGGGUAACGGGGAAUUAGGGUUCGAUUCCGGAGAGGGAGCCUGAGAAACGGCUACCACAUCCAAGGAAGGCAGCAGGCGCGCAAAUUACCCAAUCCCGACACGGGGAGGUAGUGACAAUAAAUACUGAUACAGGGCUCUUUUGGGUCUUGUAAUUGGAAUGAGUACAAUUUAAAUCCCUUAACGAGGAACAAUUGGAGGGCAAGUCUGGUCCCUG